GAUGAAGAACGUAGCGAAAUGCGAUACUUGGUGUGAAUUGCAGAAUCCCGUCAACCAUCGAGUCUUUGAACGCAAGUUGCGCCCGAAGCCGUCAGGCCGAGGGCACGCCUGCCUGGGCGUCACACGCCGUUGCCCCCCCGCGCCCCGCACCCAACGCUUUGGGAGCGACCGCGGGGCGGGCUGAUGAUGGCCUCCCGUGCGCUCCGCCGCGCGGUUGGCCCAAAUACCGAGUCCCCGGCGACGUGCGCCACGACGAUCGGUGGUUGAGAGACCUCUGUCGCAAGUCGUGCGCGCCCGUCGCGUCACGCGGGCUCGCAUAGCGCCUCGCGCCGCACCCGGUGCGGAGCUUUCAACGCGACCCCAGGUCAGGCGGGGUUACCCGCUGAAUUUAAGCAUAUCAAUAAGCGGAGGA
rnacentral:misc_RNA from 1 species